GCAGACGGAAUGCGCUGAGUGGUUUGGUGUCUCUGGACCACAUUCAGAACAAACCUCAUUGUUCCUUUCCUUCUCCAGCUCCUGUCCCAAAAGAAUAAUUAAACAUCAACAUCCAGAGAGCGACUUCAAAAUAUGUUCUCGUUUUCUCCCAAUUGCAAAGGAGAACUGUCAGGGGAUGCAAAAGAAAAUACAUUUGACUAGAAGCAAACAUUUGAACGGAGAAUACAUUAACAACAAAUGUAAGCUUCACACUUGGUCUGCAUACAUAAACAGAACAGAAAUGAUGGAAUACUUAAGUCCUUGUCCAGUGAACUCUAUAUCUUUUGGGAUUCUGCUCACUUGUCCUGUCAACAUUCAGAUGAGAUGAGGAUCUGAAGACAAGAAGCCUGUGCCAAGAGAAGGAAAGUGGUGUACAUCUGGACUCCAGAUUUUCUAAGCUCUAUAGCCCUCAUUUCAAAGGAGAAGCAGAGGAGGAAGAUUCUACGGGGGCUGAAAAAGCAAAGAACUUUCACCAGUGGAACUUGCUCUGUUUACAGGCUUUGGAGUGCUAAUAUUUGAAAACUCACAUUGGAGUAGAGUAUCAAAUUCUAUAGGCAAAAUAGCUAUCAGGCCAAUACUCUAAAAAUUGCAUAACAAUUUCUUCUUUUUCCUGUCCACUGCACACCUUGGUAAUAUAUUUAAAAAUAAACCUUGUUUCAAAGCAUUGCAAUGUUUUCCUGUGUGUACCUUGCAGCCAGUUUUUAUGUUAUGUUCGUAGUCUGCGGUUGUGACCAGCUUUUUCCAUUGCUCAG